CCGGUAAACGGCGGCCGUAACUAUAACGGUCCUAAGGUAGCGAAAUUCCUUGUCGGGUAAGUUCCGACCUGCACGAAUGGCGUAAUGAUGGCCAGGCUGUCUCCACCCGAGACUCAGUGAAAUUGAACUCGCUGUGAAGAUGCAGUGUACCCGCGGCAAGACGGAAAGACCCCGUGAACCUUUACUAUAGCUUGACACUGAACAUUGAGCCUUGAUGUGUAGGAUAGGUGGGAGGCUUAGAAGUGUGGACGCCAGUCUGCAUGGAGCCGACCUUGAAAUACCACCCUUUAAUGUUUGAUGUUCUAACGUUGACCCGUAAUCCGGGUUGCGGACAGUGUCUGGUGGGUAGUUUGACUGGGGCGGUCUCCUCCUAAAGAGUAACGGAGGAGCACGAAGGUUGGCUAAUCCUGGUCGGACAUCAGGAGGUUAGUGCAAUGGCAUAAGCCAGCUUGACUGCGAGCGUGACGGCGCGAGCAGGUGCGAAAGCAGGUCAUAGUGAUCCGGUGGUUCUGAAUGGAAGGGCCAUCGCUCAACGGAUAAAAGGUACUCCGGGGAUAACAGGCUGAUACCGCCCAAGAGUUCAUAUCGACGGCGGUGUUUGGCACCUCGAUGUCGGCUCAUCACAUCCUGGGGCUGAAGUAGGUCCCAAGGGUAUGGCUGUUCGCCAUUUAAAGUGGUACGCGAGCUGGGUUUAGAACGUCGUGAGACAGUUCGGUCCCUAUCUGCCGUGGGCGCUGGAGAACUGAGGGGGGCUGCUCCUAGUACGAGAGGACCGGAGUGGACGCAUCACUGGUGUUCGGGUUGUCAUGCCAAUGGCACUGCCCGGUAGCUAAAUGCGGAAGAGAUAAGUGCUGAAAGCAUCUAAGCACGAAACUUGCCCCGAGAUGAGUUCUCCCUGACCCUUUAAGGGUCCUGAAGGAACGUUGAAGACGACGACGUUGAUAGGCCGGGUGUGUAAGCGCAGCGAUGCGUUGAGCUAACCGGUACUAAUGAACCGUGAGGCUUAACCUUACAACGCCGAAG
rnacentral:rRNA from 1 species